rnacentral:rRNA from 1 species
CCUACGGGAGGCAGCAGUGAGGAAUAUUGGUCAAUGGCCGGAAGGCUGAACCAGCCAUGCCGCGUGAAGGUCAGUGCCCUAUGGGCGUUAAACUUCUUUUGUGCGGGAGCAAUAAUGGUCACGUGUGGCCAGACGAGAGUACCGUACGAAUAAGCAUCGGCUAACUCCGUGCCAGCAGCCGCGGUAAUACGGGGGAUGCAAGCGUUAUCCGGAUUUCUGGGGUUUAAAGGGUGCGUAGGCUGGGAGGUAAGUCAGCGGUGAAAUGCCCCCGCUCAACGGGGUGAGGUGCCAUUGAUACUGCCUGGCUGGAAUGCGGAUGCGGUGGGAGGAAUGUGUGGUGUAGCGGUGAAAUGCAUAGAUAUCACACAGAACACCGAUUGCGAAGGCAUCUCACGAAUCCGCGAUUGACGCUGAUGCACGAAAGCGUGGGUAUCAAACAGGAUUAGAUACCCUGGUAGUC